CCUACGGGAGGCAGCAGUAAGGAAUAUUGGUCAAUGGGGGCAACCCUGAACCAGCCAUGCCGCGUGCAGGAAGACGGCCCUACGGGUUGUAAACUGCUUUUAUACGGGAAUAAAUCACGCUACGUGUAGGGUGUUGAAUGUACUGUAAGAAUAAGGAUCGGCUAACUCCGUGCCAGCAGCCGCGGUAAUACGGAGGAUCCAAGCGUUAUCCGGAUUUAUUGGGUUUAAAGGGUGCGUAGGCGGCCUAUUAAGUCAGGGGUGAAAGACGGUGGCUCAACCAUCGCAGUGCCCUUGAUACUGAUGGGCUUGAUUACACUUGAGGUAGGCGGAAUGUGACAAGUAGCGGUGAAAUGCAUAGAUAUGUCACAGAACACCAAUUGCGAAGGCAGCUUACUAAGGUGUUAAUGACGCUGAGGCACGAAAGCGUGGGGAUCAAACAGGAUUAGAUACCCUGGUAGUCCACGCCCUAAACGAUGAAUACUCGAUGUUAGCGAUAUACAGUUAGCGUCAAAGCGAAAGCGUUAAGUAUUCCACCUGGGGAGUACGCCCGCAAGGGUGAAACUCAAAUGAAUUGACGG
rnacentral:rRNA from 1 species